CGUGACAGUCGUACGCCGACCCGGCGCCGAUAGGGGGAAACGAUUUUAUGGAUAAUGCCUCUCCGUUCCAAGCGGCCUGGCAAUGGCGCAAGUUCGCCAUCUGU
rnacentral:sRNA from 16 species